rnacentral:lncRNA from 1 species
GAUAAUUUCCUUGUUCAUAAACAGAAAAUACAUAGGUUAAAUGAUAGAUACUUGUGAAAAUAAUUAAAAUACAAAAGUGGAUCAAGUUUUACCAUAGCAGGAUUUCGAUCACCAAAAUUGCCACACACCACCAUACAUGUGUCCCUGGUUCACCACGUGCUGCCACAAGAGAAUCACAUAUCGCCUCACACUCGACCAUUAGAACCAGCACGGGCCACCAGAACCACCCACGCGCCACCAUGAUUUGACCAGAAAUCAUCAUAGAAUGAGUCACGCACACAUAUUCGGCUCGAAUAUGGGGAAAUCGUGCCAGAGAAAGGUGUGGAUAUGUGGAACCGCACCUAGCAUAUGAUGCGGUUCUCCUUCUUCUCUACAUGCACCAUCAUGUGUUCUCUCUCUUUGACCUUCUGGUUAUGGGCCUCUCUAUCGUACCCCAUGUCGCACGCACUAAAUCGACCUCGUCGUCGAUCUGGUCUUUUUCCUCCCAUUCUCUCUCUCUCUACUCAUUUGACUCUAUUUCUCUUCCUUCUUCUUAAUUUCUUCUCUUUAUUUUU